rnacentral:siRNA from 1 species
UAGCUCAUCUACAACGUCAGCCA